rnacentral:rRNA from 1 species
CUCGUAGGUGGUUCGGUAAGUCGGAUGUGAAAUCUCCAGGCUCAACCUGGAGGGGUCAUUCGAUACUGCCGUGACUAGAGGUCGGUAGGGGAGUGUGGAAUUCCUGGUGGAGCGGUGAAAUGCGCAGAUAUCAGGAGGAACACCCGUAGCGAAGGCGGCACUCUGGGCCGAUACUGACACUGAGGAGCGAAAGCGUGGGGAGCGAACA